GACGAAGGGGGCUAGCGUUGUUCGGAAUUACUGGGCGUAAAGCGCGUGUAGGCGGUUGCCCAAGUCGGGGGUGAAAGCCUUGAGCUCAACCUAGGAAGUGCAUUCGAAACUGCAGGGCUGGAGUCCUGGAGAGGAAGGCGGAAUUCUCGGUGUAGAGGUGAAAUUCGUAGAUAUCGAGAGGAACACCGGUGGCGAAGGCGGCCUUCUGGACAGUGACUGACGCUGAGACGCGAAAGCGUGGGGAGCAAACAGG
rnacentral:rRNA from 1 species